rnacentral:lncRNA from 1 species
CAAGUCUGAAAUACAACGUUCUUCCAAAGCCAUAAGGAAGGAAAUGACUUUCAGAAGAGGCAAAAGGAAAAAAAAAUCAACUCAGCCUUGACACUUGGGUAAAUAAGGAAAAGAGGUGCGUACAGGCAAAAGGACGAAUCAAAAUCUUAAGAACUUUUGAAAGGGAGAAGAACACUGGCCACUUCCGGAAGACCACCCAAGUCAGUGUCUGCGCUGCUAUUUGAGUCUUUACCUGAUAAA